UCGGAUUGUAGUCUGCAACCCGGCUACAUGAAGCUGGAAUCGCUAGUAAUCGCGGAUCAGAAUGCCGCGGUGAAUACGUUCCCGGGUCUUGUACACACCGCCCGUCACACCAUGGGAGCCGGAAAUGCCCGAAGUCAGUGACCCAACCGCAAGGAGGGAGCUGCCGAAGGUGGAGCUGGUAACUGGGGUGAAGUCGUAACAAGGUAAC
rnacentral:rRNA from 1 species